GAUGAACGCUGGCGGCGUGCCUAAUACAUGCCAGUCGAGCGAACAGACGAGGAGCUUGCUCCUCUGACGUUAGCGGCGGACGGGUGAGUAACACGUGGAUAACCUACCUAUAAGACGGGGAUAACUUCGGGAAACCGGAGCUAAUACCGCAUAAUAUCUUUAACCGCAUGGUUCAAUAGUGAAAGAUGGUAUUGCAGCAACUUAUAGAUGGAGCCCCGCCUCAUAAGCUAGUUGGUAAGGUAACGGCUUACCAAGGCAACGAUGCUUAGCCGACCUGAGAGGGUGAUCGGCCACACUGGAACUGAGACACGGUCCAGACUCCUACGGGAGGCAGCAGUAGGGAAUCUUCCGCAAUGGGCGAAAGCCUGACGGAGCAACGCCGCGUGAGUGAUGAAGGUCUUCGGAUCGUAAAACUCUGUUAUUAGGGAAGAACAAAUGUGUAAGUAACUAUGCACGUCUUGACGGUACCUAAUCAGAAAGCCACGGCUAACUACGUG
rnacentral:rRNA from 1 species